CUCCACCUCGAUCCUCAUUGGCUCGAAAGAGAGGCACGAGGGGCCUGAGAGCCGGGCUAUGGAAACCGCCCAGUGGCGUGCUCGGGCCGGGGACUGUCGCGAGUGAGCAUAGAGAGAACGAGAGCUGCAGCAGGGGGCAGCCGCCAUCUUAGACGGGGCUGGUGGUACGUGUGAGGGACGCCUGCCCCUCGCCUCCCUCCCAGAUGGUAUCAAAAAGCAGACUAUUUGCCUCAUAUCAUGACAAUGGAAUUCACCUCUCACAAUGAGCCAAGUGGGACCUGAACUGUGCUAUGUCAGCUCACCUGGGGCUAGAGCUUUCAUGAACCUCUGGGAUGGAUACAGGAAACGUGAAUAAACAUGAUCUGGACAUUUCCUAAUGGGUUACCCUGCUAGAAUUGGGACAUCCCCUACGGACUGCUGAGAGUUUUUCCAUGUGUGCAGUGGGGUGAUGGGACAGCAAAUAAGGGGUAUCAGCAAAAAAUCUCCUGUUUUCUUUGGGAAAUUACCAAGAAAAUUUCAUAGCACUGUCAAUAUUUCCUUACUUGUCCCAUCAUUGCACAGCAAUUAAAUGAUUACAUUUU